CCUGACGAGUGGCGAACGGGUGAGUAAUGCAUCGGAACGUACCCAGUCGUGGGGGAGUAACGUAGCGAAAGUUACGCUAAUACCGCAUACGUCCUGAGGGAGAAAGCGGGGGACCGUAAGGCCUCGCGCGAUUGGAGCGGCCGAUGUCGGAUUAGCUAGUUGGUAGGGUAAAGGCCUACCAAGGCGACGAUCCGUAGCGGGUCUGAGAGGAUGAUCCGCCACACUGGGACUGAGACACGGCCCAG
rnacentral:rRNA from 1 species